rnacentral:lncRNA from 10 species
UCUCCCUCUCCCUCUCUUUCCACGGUCUCCCUCUGAUGCCGAGCUGAAGCUGGACUGUACUGCUGCCAUCUCAGCUCACUGCAACCUCCCUGCCUGAUUGUCCUGCCUCAGCCUGCCGAGUGCCUGUGAUGGCAGGCACGCGCCGCCACGCCUGACUGGUUUUCGUAUUUUUUUGGUGGAGAAGGGGUUUCGCUGUGUUGGCCGGGCUGGUCUCCAGCUCCUAACCGCGAGUGAUCUGCCAGCCUCGGCCUCCCGAGGUGCCAGGAUUGCAGACAGAGUCUCCUUCACUCAGUGCUCAAUGGUGCCCAGGCUGGAGUGCAGUGGCGUGAUCUCAGCUCGCUACAACCUCCACCUCCCAGCCACCUGCCUUGGCCUCCCAAAGUGCCGAGAUUGCAGCCUCUACCCGGCCACCACCCCGUCUGGGAAGUGAAGAGUGUCUCUGCCUGGCCGCCCAUCGUCUGGGAUGUGAGGAGCCCCUCUGCCUGGCUGCCCAGUCUGGAAAGUGAGCAGCGUCUCUGCCCGGCCGCCAUCCCAUCUAGGAAGUGAGGAGCGUCUCUGCCCGGCUGCCCAGCAUCUGAGAUGUGGGGAGCGCCUCUGCCCCACCGCCCCUUCUGGGAGGUGAGGAGCAUCUCUGCCCGGCCUCCCCAUCUGAGAAGUGAGGAGACCCUCUACCUGGCAGCCGCCCCGUCUGAGAAGUGAGGAGUCCCUCUGCCCAGCAGCUGCCCCGUCUGGGAAGUGAGGAGCAUCUCCACCUGGCAGCCGCCCUGUCCGGGAGGGAGGUGGGGGGGUCAGCCCCCUGCCCGGCCAGCUGCCCCAUCCGGGAGGGAGGUGGGGGUGUCAGCCCCCCACCCGGCCAGCCACCCCGUCCGGGAGGGAGGUGGGGGGGUCAGCCCCCCCGCCCGGCCAGCCGCCAAGUCCGGGAGGUGAGGGGCGCCUCUGCCCGGCCACCCCUACUGGGAAGUGAGGAGCCCCUCUGCCCGGCCACCACCCCAUCUGGGAGGUGUACCCAACAGCUCAUUGAGAACGGGCCAU